UACGUAGGGGGCUAGCGUUGCUCGGAAUCACUGGGCGUAAAGCGCACGUAGGCGGGUCUUUAAGUCAGGGGUGAAAUCCUGGAGCUCAACUCCAGAACUGCCUUUGAUACUGAGGAUCUUGAGUUCGGGAGAGGUGAGUGGAACUGCGAGUGUAGAGGUGAAAUUCGUAGAUAUUCGCAAGAACACCAGUGGCGAAGGCGGCUCACUGGCCCGAUACUGACGCUGAGGCACGAAAGCGUGGGGAGCAAACAGG
rnacentral:rRNA from 1 species